GGUGGAACACCCUCUAAUUAAAGGUUGGUAUCAAGUGUUGUGAAAUGCAGUUCUUUGGAUUUGUGUAUCCAAUCACAUUUGUAGUCAUCAUAACUCAUCAACAUUCAUGAUUUCUUUUUAUUCAUGGUAGUUAGUUCAAUGAGAUUUUUUUGUCAAAAUUUGAUGAGUUAUUAGAUUAUGUUUUUUGAUUUGUUUCUUAUUAUUAAUUAUAGUAUCAAAUUUAUAUUAGUCUUUUACUUAAAGUUUUGUUUUCUUUGUACAAGAACGCUGAACAGAUCGUAUGAAAUUGCUAAAGUUGGAAUUGUUUGAAAUUCCGGGUACCGUAUGACCCGACCCGGUAAAGUCGGGUACCCGAAAUCCGGGUACCCGAUUUUUCUGGGUCGGGGCAUGGGCCUCUUUUUUAACUACCCGAAGAAGCGGGUACCCGCUUUUACGGGUACCCGAAAAGCCGGGUACCCGGAUAUGAACACCCCUAGCUGUAUACCUUCAUCAUUUGGACUACGGGCUUCAAUCCCCUAUGGAUCCCUUCAUUGCUCGUGUGUUGGAUGAAUACAAUAUCUCACUGGCUCAGUUGACGCCGAAGUCUAUGCGUCAUAUUAUUGGGUAUCGCUGGAUGUGUGACUACCUCGGUUACCCGACGUCCAUUGAAGUCUUUAAAGAGAUGCAUGAGCUCGUGAGGAAUGUGAAUGCUGCUCAUGGUUGGUGGACCAUAACUAACAAGAGGUCUCGGAAAGGCGAGGCUUGUUAUCCGACUGCAUUUCCUUACGUAUCCUCGGUCCACGAGUGGAAGAAGCAAUGGCUCUUAGUUCUCCGAAGUGGUUCGUGAAGGUGAAUCGAGCGAUGUCAAGGGUUGGUUCAAUUGACCCAGGAAAUACGGACCACACUGUUCUGCUGGAAUGGUUCCGAGCGAGAACGUCUAGGGAGCUUGAGUUUUGGCUUCCGAUCUUGCACUACAUCACUCAAGGAGGUCAUUCUCGCUGCUGCCGGUCUCAGUAGGAUCUACAAGAGGGAGCAAGGUGAAACUGUUGUUAAACCUUGGGUGCUCGGCUAUAAGAAGGAGGGCAACGAUAUUCUUCAUUGUUAUCCACCCUACGACUUUGUCAAGGGUAACCCUCGACAGCCGAAGCUAGAGAGCAAUCAGCUUUCGGAUCACGCCCUUGCCCAUCUUUACGACGUUCGGGCCGACCAUUGGGACGCUAGAAACCCUGGAGAGGCGGUUCCGCUACAGACCAUUCUCCCCGAAUUGGGGCCCGAGGUGAGAGUUGCUGCUCCCAUCAUCUCGUCUGCUUCAUCUCCUCCUUCUCUCGCUACGCCUGAAAAGAAGUCGAGGAAGAGGAAAGAUUUUUGAGGAGAGGUCUCCUCCAAAGUCGAAGAAGAAGGUUUCUAAGGAGAAGUCUCCUUCGAAACCGAGGAAGAAGGUUCCUUCAUCUUCUGGAAAGGUAACGCCUAGUCCCGAGGUUCUUGAGUUUACGAGACAACGCCCUCCCCUUACUGGGGAAGUGAUUCGACAGGUUGUCGUUGAGGAUCCCAACCUUGCUGAAGCGGGUGAGCGUUAUCUUGCUCGACAAAUGGAUCCUCCUAAGGGUCUUCGACGUCUCAUUCCUUUACCUGGGCACAAGCUGAAAAGCGCCAUGGCUUCGGUUGCGAGCGAACCUGUUGAUCAGCCUGUCGUCGAGGAAACUCAUAUUCCCUCGCCACUGAAGUCGAUUAAUACCGACGUGGUGUUGAUCGAGGAUGAAACGAAUGAGGAGGUUCGUGCGGCGACUGAAGUUGCUUUGGCUUCUACUGAGGUUGCCAUCCCCGAGGGAGGAAAUGCUUCUACUGCCAAGCCUUUUAUUCCUUCGAAGGUUUUUGUCGACUUGUCGGCCCCUAGGUCCUAAGUGGCCUUUGCUGCUUCUGCGGAGAAGGUGGAGGAAAUUACACAAGGCAUGGCUGAAGAGGGGGUACCGAUCUGAAGCGUCCCUUCAAGAGACCUCGGGAGACUUUGGGUUCGACCUCCACUUCUGCGUUGGAGAGGUUGGUUCAUGCCGACCCUUGCUCCAACGUUCUUGUGAGGAGGGUGCCUGCUACAGUUCGGGAGACUAUGGCUCGAUUCGCGCGGCCUUCGGUCAUGGGCGAGGAUCCCUCCGCUCAAGCGAGCUCUAUGAUUGGUCCCGGAGCUGCUCGGGAGAACAUGUUGCGGUCCAUCCCUUAGUUCCGCGUUCCGGGGGAGGAGGCGAGUCACCCUACCCAAAUGUCUCAGUACCACAUGAACGAGGCCAAAUUUUGGACUGCCUUCUCUGCUAAAUGUCAAUAUUAUGACGAGGUGGGGCUUCAGAAUAUUGAGGAGCUUUAUGCUCGUGACAUCCCCAAUCUUGACGAGAAGGAAAAUGUCCUCGCUUCCGAGCUUGAGGAGGCUAAGCAAUUGGUUGCUGAGUUUACCCAGGAAGGGACACUUGCGCUCGAGAAGAUCGGUAACGAGGUUGGAAAUCUUCUUGUCUGAAUGACGGCUGAUACAGAGAAGCUUCAUGCUCUUGAGAAGGAGAAAGCCGAGGAUAAGGCCAACUUCGAGGCCAAGCUGAAGGAGAAAGAGAGUGCCAUCUUAAGGAUGGUGGAGAGCGCUUAACUGGCGGACGCUACUAUUCAAAGGGUUCCUGUGCUGGAGGACGAUAUUCGGAAACUGGAAGCCUCGUAAGCUUGAACAAGAGAAGGCCCAAAUGUAUUCUAGCGAGUAGUGCCAAGAUGUUUACUGGGAUGGGAUUUGUGGCGUUCGUCGGAUGUUUGCUUAGAACAUGCCGAACUUCAACUAGGCUGAGCAUGUGCCUAAGUGGCUUGAGGCUCGGGAUCACGAGGUUGAAUGCCAAGCUGAUCGAGACGAAGCUGCACAUGAACGUGAGGAAGCUGCUAAGGAGCAGCAGACUCGGAAGGCCGCUUCUGAGGGUGACACUAAUGUGGGCACCUCUUCGAAGGCUACCCUUCAGGGGACUUCCAGUGAUGUCCCUUAGGAAUUCGGCCAGUCGUCUUCUUCAGAGUCGGUUGAUUCUAGUUGAGGACUUCCGAACUUGCGCUCAAGUUUCUCCCCUUUUGGCUUCAGCUCUGCAUUGUACUUUAAUAAUUUUAGCUUGUUUUUUGUUUCUUGUACUUCGGUAGGAUGAUAUCAUCUGUUGAUGGCUGCCGAUUUUAGCUUUAACUCAUUUCCAUUUCAAUUUUUGAGGAUUCCUCGGGUAAUGCCGAUUUAGUUGAUGUAAUCGUACUUUUCUCCCCCGAAUAUUGAAUGGAAAAUGGUUUCGAUUUGCUAUUCGCUUGCUUUGUUUAUCUUUGCCUUUUUUGAUUUUUGAGUUUCAGUCUUCGGUUUUACCAAAUUUCUUCAAAUCCGAAGGUCUGUUCGGAAGCUUGUCUUCGCUUUUAGUUCUUCACAUCCGUGGAUUUGUUUAGAGACUCAUUUUGUUUCGAGUUCUUCAAAUCCGUGGAUUUUUUCAGAGACUCAUUUUGAUUUGAGUUCUUCAAAUUCGUAAAUUUUUUCAGAGACUCAUUUUGUUUUGAGUUCUUUAAAUCCGUAGAUUUGUUCAGAGACUCAUUUUGUUUUGAGUUCUUCAAAUCCGUAGAUUUGUUCAGAGACUCAUUUUGUUUUGAGGUCUUCAAAUCCGUAGAUUUGUUCAGAGACUCAUUUUCUUUUGUUUUUCCGACUUCUUGCGGUUCGGGAACCUGGGCAAGAAAUCGCUAGUCUGCCUCUUAGUUAUGACCUCGGCGAUUGGUAGACCUGUUCCGAGGUCUUUAUAACUUGAUUCGAGCGACCUUUUUGCGAACAGAAUUUUCCAAGGUAUCGCAAAUCCAGGGAUUUUGGACGAUACCUUGCGCGUUGAUUUUCGAGUUAACCAUUUCUUGGAACUUUUGUCCAAGGAAUGGUCACCUCGGGUUGAUUUUAUCUUCGGUGAUCCAGAGAUCAUUUCCGAAGUUGCAUGCAUAUAAUAAAAAU